rnacentral:rRNA from 1 species
AUACGGAGGAUCCGAGCGUUAUCCGGAUUUAUUGGGUUUAAAGGGUGCGCAGGCGGCCAUUUAAGUCAGCGGUUAAAUCGUGGGGCUCAACCCCAUUCUGCCGUUGAUACUGGGUGGCUUGAUUGCGGUCGAGGUUGGCGGAAUUCGUUGUGUAGCGGUGAAAUGCAUAGAUAUGACGAAGAACACCGAUUGCGUAGGCAGCUGACCAGACCGCAAAUGACGCUCAUGCACGAAAGUGCGGGGAUCGAACAGGAUUAGAUACCCUGGUAGUCCGCACAGUAAACGAUGAAUACUUGUUCUCGGCGAUAUAAUGUCGGAGGCAAAGCGAAAGCGAUAAGUAUUCCACCUGGGGAGUACGCCGGCAACGGUGAAACUCAAAUGAAUUGGCGGGG